GCUGGCUUCCUUGCUUACAUGACUAUUCAGAAGGUAUCAGUGUUGUUGAAAUGUGGAACGCCAAGGCAAGAAAAGUCAAAAGACCUUGAUCUUACUGUUGGUGCUGAGUGGAAAGCCCACACUCCAGAAGCUCAUUAAAAGGGCCAAGUUACAGUACAGGUUUAUUUCUGUCACAGCGUUUCUGAAAACAGUGACAAGGAUUAAUAUGUUUCUUUAGUACUGGAAAAAGCCUGACACAAUCCCUUGUGAAUUUGAUCAUCUGUUUCAUUGCCUGUAUAAGAUUCAAUCUCUUAUUAUAUCCUGAAGUUACAGCUGUAAACUAAUGCUGGUAAGAAUUCAUAAGCUAUUGCAGAAGCCUGGGGCAAAACUAAUUGUUUUAUUCAGCAGUCACUUAUUUAUUUAUUAUUUAUUUCAUACCCCUCUGUCUCAUCUUUUCUACUCUUCCUCUUCAAAGUCAAAAUUGUCUUGGCUCUUUGUCUGAAAGUACAGAGCAAAUAUAGAGACAUGGGGAAUUCAUGUUUCCGGGAGCUUUCAAAAAAGUUGUUACAGGUCGGUGGAUCAUGAAAAUAAGGUCCACUCUAAAUCUUUUAUAAAACUAUUCUUGCUUUCCUUUCCUUGACAUGGAGAUUCUUUAUUAAAAAGCAUUAUCUGCACAAACAUUAGAACCUUUGUGUUCUAUGUAAUCAUGUGACAUUAGGCUUUCUCCGCUAGUGGUUGCUAUGUUUCUAGGACAUGAUUUGACAUGUGGUACAUGCAAAUCCUAGUAAAGUGUAAACUAUAUCAUAAAAUGAUACCAUUUUGCAUCACAUUCAACAGGCAAAUAGCUAUUUGCUGUUUUAAAAAAUUAAAAGUUGUAACAAUAUGCUGUAUGGAUUCCAUAAAACAAAUCAUCAUUUAAACUAAGGAAUCGCUCUCUUCUUCUCUUUCUCAAGUUAGUUGUAGAUGAAUAUUCAUUUCUUAACUACCUACCAGUUUUUGUCAUUAUGGCAAAUUUUAUGCUAUAUUAGAAUUUUAGAUACAAAAAUAUAUGUUCAAAAUUUCAAACAUUGUGCAAGUAUGAAAUAAUCCAUUUGUGUUCACUUUAUGAGAGUUGGUGGAAAUUAUUACAAGAUUAGGUACAAGCAGUAUGUUCAGGCAAUGUCUGAAAUUAGAUCAUAAGCUUCCCUCGUUCUUAACAGAAGUUGUGUGCCUAAUUCCCUAUGCACUACAGACAUUUUAACCCACAAUAACUGAUUGUAAAUACAGUAUGAAACUAGCUACAGCCUUAUUUACACCUGCCAAUUUGCUGCCCUCCAGCACUAAAAACAAAAACAAAAUGGUAGCAAAAGAACUGCCAAGCAAAACACACUCUGCCCCUCAUGUACAUUCCUUUCUAUUUCCGCAAACAGAACCUUUUGCUUCUUGGUUUUCAUAAACAAAUUCAAUUGGGGAAUUUAAAAUAAAGUUACAGAACAAGGCAUUUGCAUGACAUGGCAAUAACAAAAUAAUUUUUAAAAUGGCCAGCUCUUCCAAAUGUGUGUCCCCUUAAAAUAAUGUAAAUGCUGUAAGUGCUUCAUGGCACUUUUAAUUAAGAAUAACGCAUGGGAAAAGAAAAUAAGGAAAUCACACAUGUGCCACUCAAUGUAUAUGUCGCAAUGGCAGCCACCUAUUUUUACUCAAUAACUACAAGAUUUACACUCAGUUUUGUUCAUAUAAUAGAACUCCAUGUUAUUCAUUAGAAAGAAUGUAUCACAGAUAUUUGGUUGAUACGGUUGCAUUCCCUGUUGCUUUUUUGUGCUUCCCUGUCAUAUCUCAUUUACAUAAUGGCAGCCCAAUUAUUUCCAUUUCUAUUUUUUCGGAAACUUAAAGCGUUUGUCAACAUUUUUGUGAAGAUUCCCUACAAACUUGAUUCAACGAAAAUAACUACUGCUAAAUGCUAGACAGUAGCUUACCCUUCCAUUGUGGAUAGCAAUGAUUUGCAUCAUUGCAUAUAUUACUUGACUUGCAUGUAUUAAAAUAGUAAAUAAGGCAUACAAUAAUAUUGCAUACAUAAUGAUAUGAA